GCCGGGGUUAACUCGGAGGAAGGUGGGGAUGACGUCAAGUCAUCAUGCCCCUUACAUCCUGGGCUACACACGUACUACAAUGCUACGGACAAAGGGCAGCAAGUUCGCGAGGACAAGCAAAUCCCAUAAACCGUGGCUCAGUUCAGAUCGUAGGCUGCAACUCGCCUACGUGAAGGAGGAAUCGCUAGUAAUCGCAGGU
rnacentral:rRNA from 15 species